rnacentral:rRNA from 1 species
AUGAAAGCAACAUCCAGAAGGACGAAGAAUAUUAUCCCUAGUCUGUGCGUUGAUGUUGUUGACAUUGCUGAUCAAACUAAGGAGGAGGAAUGUAUCUGGUCGAGAUCUGCUGCCUUGAACUUCAAUGCUCUAGGUUUUCAGCCUUGCGACCUUUCUCACCUGGACAACAACUUUACUGAGAAGGAAAUAAAGAGUGCUAUUUUUGAUCUUCACCCAGAAAAAGCUCCCGGGCCUGAUGGAUUUACUGGGCACUUCUUUCGAAGUUGCUGGGACACCGUGAAGCCGGAUCUAUUGGCCGCUUUCUCUCACUUCUAG